GAAUUUUCAUUUUUGGGUGAACUAACCCUUUAACAAUAACAUAGAAUAGUAUACACACAAUAUCGGAUUUGGAUCGGCCUCAUCUGAUCGAUACCCAAUCCGGCAAAAAUGGCAGUAUCGGAGCCGAUACCGAUCCUGAGUAUCGGAUCGGCGCAUCCCUAGAAAGAACAGAAAUCUUGGCAAGAGUUUCUUUGGAACAGGAGGAUGGGAAGAGGUCACACGUGGCGAGUGAUGGCCGAUGUGACUCGCCAGGUUUCAAUGCGAAAAACUGUCACUAAACGUUCAUGUUGGACGAUACAAAGGAGAUAAUACACUCAGAUCUGGUGCAGUCUACAGAGGCCAUUAGCUUUGGAGCCACUGGGUUUUAGACGGGGAAUGAAGGAGCUUCUGGACUUUGGCCUUGAUGUGGAGGUGAUGACUGCGGACCGCUCUUUAUCAAUAAGGAAGGCAAUGAGGGAACAAUAGCCUAAUAUCCAACACCAAUUUGUCAUCUGGCACACAGCCAAAGGGCCACUGGAGAACUUUCAUAGUGCUGUGCUGAAAUACCUCCCCAAGCGGCAGGCCUUCUCAUGCCAUGGAAUGAGCGAGAGGUCCCACCUCGCCAUCCUCGACCAUAACAAAAACAUUGUGAAAGGGAAACAAGCCACCACAGUAACCGGUUUGUUACCAUGAGAAGCACGGUUCAACCAAGUGUACUCAAGAAGUCUAAGCAAUGGUUAUUAAAAAAAGUCUUCACGCCACACAUUGGAGUUUGUUGAUGUCAUCGAGAGGGUCCUGGAAAAUAGACUCAAUCCCAACAUCAAGGUCCAAAACCCAACCUCCUCACUCGCCCUGCCUCAAACUGAUUGCCACCCAACAUUGCCCUUUACCAAAACACCAAAAGCAAUGUUUAAAAGCCGCUUCUGAGACCUCUUCACACAGCACCCAACUCAUUCUCCAUCUCUCUCACUACCCUUCUGGUCAACACCUGCUCUGCAUAUUUAUAUUCUGGAUAUACUGGAUGUAUAUAUAAAUUAUCAGCUUGUUUAGUUUUUAUAAUUAUGCCCAUGCCCUUGUUAUUUUAAUUGAUUGUCUACCCAUGACACAAUUAUUUAAUUUUAUUUGUGAAUAAAAAAAAAAAAUCAAUUCUGCACAGCUUUCUGUCUACACCAAAGUUCAACAAUAUAGAGUUGGGAGGAAAAUGAUUUUGCAAAUAAGUUAUAAAUGUAAUUUUAGACUUGUAAAAAAUGUUGGCUUGACCAUUAUUUUGCUAUCUAUUGUCAUGUAAGGUAACAGUAGGUUAGUAGUACCACUGAUGAAAUGUUGGUUGUCCAGUAACUACUGUAUUUAUCACCACCUUUCACCCCACUGGCGAUGGCCCUGGAUUCUAGCAAUAUUAUAAUUGCAGAUCAAUAGGAAAGGUAGACUAGCCUGGUAAUAACAAACUCUGCUACUUCGCUUUCUUCAAAUGUGACCGUGUCUGCUAGAUCUCUGAAAACGUAAAUACCAGCAGAGAUGUCUCCUGGCAGUUGGUGGUCUUGCAGAAACCUAUGAACAAGUCGUUUCAUUCUUUCCUGGCACAAGUUAGGGUCUGAGAACAUGUUUGUUGGGUCCAAACAUGCUGGUGGAAAUUUUCUUGACUCAAAGUUGUCCUAAGGGCAGAAACUUUUGAGAUUGCUUCAAUCUGACAACCAAUCGCAAGAGAGGAGAGAAUUGCAGAGGCGAGGCCACCAUUUCCAAUCUCAACCGUCGAAAUUCCACCGGUGCGCAGAAAGAGGAACUGGUUAUUAUUUCAAAGGAAGUUUUUAAAAAAAAAAAAAAAAAACCUAAUUCUCAAAAAUGGAGCAUUGUAUGUGCACCUAUGAGUGAAUUUUUUAUUUUUUUUUCCUGCCUUCAUCAUAGUAUAUCAUAAGCCGCGUUUCCACCGCAAUUACCAGGAACUAUUUGUCCCAGGAACUUUUUUUUCCCCCAGACCGCUUGCUUACUGUGUUUACACCGCGUACUAAAGUACCGGUCCGGGGCGGGAAGAUUAUGUAGUGACGUUGAACUGCGUGCGACUGCUCUUCUUAGCCUGCGCCUUUGUUUUGAGUUUUGUAUGAAGGAGAUUCAAGCAACUAACAAGGUAAUUAACAAAACGGCAGAAAAGAGACGACCACCCAAAGCGUAUUCAGAAAGCUCGUAAUGCUAGAUAUAAAAGUAGACGUUUGUUAUCAGCGGACAUUGACCUUGAGAUGGAUGGGACGAACAUGCACCAUCUGGCAGAAAGAAUAUCGUGGUGAGAACCAGCAUGUUUAGCACAAAAGUCCCACCCCGAAAGUUCCUGAACUCUGAAAAAGUACCACCUCACCAGCAGGGACUUUCUGAGGGGGGGAGAAUUUUUACCCGGAACUUCAUUUAGACCCUGGUUCCUGUGGUGUAAACACACCGAGUACCACCCCAAAGUUCCUAGUUCCUGGGGAAAGUUCCUGCGGUGGAAACGCGGCUAUAUUGUAAUGGUGCAGCUUGUAGCUUAAGGGUAGGCUAGCCUACUGUUUCAGAAGCAAGCUAGUGUUGUAGCUUGCAUUAAAGGGGCCAUUUACACCUGGUUACUUAAUGCGUUUUCUGUGAUCGGAUAGCUAUCCGAUCGCGAAAAGACCAGCUGUAAAUGCCCCCCGAAACGCAUUUGAGACGGAUUUGAAUCCGAUCGCUCAAACCACAUUGCGAGGUGGUCUGGGCUAGCCUGACUACGUCAGACUUCCUACUUCCGCUAAUUUCAUUUCGCUCCUGUAGUCAGUCUGAGAUAGCGGCCUAUCUUUCAGUUUUCCACCGGCCUGAAAACCAGAGAGCCGUUCGCUGAGAGCCGUGACGUAGCCGCUAAGCGCCGAGGAGUACAUUGUAGGUUAGAGAAAUCGAAAACCGAAUACCGAAACAACCGCAGAAAUUGGAAACAAGACACGGGAUGCAAUUCGCUCUGUUAUGGAGAACAUUCAGGGGUUUUUCAAACUGAAGCAAAAGUCGUUUACAGCCAUAUUCACUCCAGUAUUUCACUCGCAUCAUCAGUGUUUACAGCUAGGACCUUCCUCCGCCUUGCCGGGACCUUAAUAACGGAGAACGAACGGCGGCGUUUAAAGAUUAUGCUUGAGUUCUGUACAGAGAAACAGAAGAAGAAGGCUCCAGCGUAAUAUGAUAUUAAGUAAUAUGAUGGAAGAAGGUAAAAGAGCCGAGCGCAGGAGGCAAACAAAACGACGGGUAAGUUUAGCUAGCAUUAGCAAUUAGCUGGUUGAAUGCUUUGUUUGUCUUAAUCCUUAGUUGUAAUGUUUUGCAAAAACACACCACGUAUGGCAGACAGCGCGCUACAAGUUCCGUGUUGACAGUGGGCAUGACUUAUAAGUUCAACCAAUCAACGUAGACCUAGGAAAAGGGAACUAAAAAAGUCCUCGCUCUAGACUAGGUACUGGAAGAGUUACAGGAACUACGGUCUGAGGAACUAAAAAAUCCCCAAUUUAGUCCGGUCGG